CGGGGGGAAAAAGGAUUGUAGAAUUGGGUGGUUCUGCUGAAAGCCACUGAUUCCUUGAGAGAAAAGACAAUUGGUUAAAUAGCCACCAAUUCAAAGUGUAUGGGGGCUGGGGAUGUGGCUCCUUGGUAGAUUUGCCAGGCAUGCAUGAGGCUCUGGGUUUGAUCCCUAGCACUGCAAAAAGCAAAAACUACAAAGUAUGAGUGACUGGAGGCCUCCUUGGAUUUAAAAAGAUCCUCAUCUGCAAACAUAAUCACAGAAGUUCAGGUAAAAGGCUUAAUUAAGAAUGACAGGACAUCAACAAAGCCUGAAUUCACAACUGAGAUAGGUCUAACCAAAGACAGGGCUCUGGUGGGGAGGGGGUGGAAAAGAUGGGACUCUGUGGGUAGCUGUACUUAUUUAAAUCCGUAGAGUCCCUUGAAUUCGCCCUGCAAAAGUGGCUCACUAAUAUAGAACUUUCCCUCUGCUUGAUAAACCAAGAUGCCGCAAAUGAGGUGGGUGAUCUACAAGACAAUGCUGACCUUCACAAUCCGCUCCAACCUCCCUAUUGGUCUCCCAGACAGGUUAGGAAGAUAAGUCUCACCACAAUCCGACAUUAAUUGCUGGGCCUGCUAAAGGAGCACAGAGAUUCCACACCGAAGGAGCUGCAAGUCCUGGUUAGCAUGUGCUGGCAGGACCAGGAGACCAUGCCAGAGAGAGGAUCCCGAGAGUGCUGACCAGAGAGGUCAAAGUUGGAAUGGGAACACCUGACAACAUGAAGAUACUCCCUGUGUGACAGAACUUAGCAAUAUGACAAGAGGGAGAAGAGUCUAAUGCGCUGCUGAGAUGAUUCUUGAAAGCUUACGAAGGCUAAUGGCCCACAUUAAAUGAAAUAAAGGUGCCAUAACCCCUGAACAGAGGAUUAAAAGUUCAUAGAUGAUCUAGGAUGGGACUACCACCAUCAGCUACGUUUCUUGGGAGGGUCUGGG
rnacentral:lncRNA from 1 species